GGAUGUGAGAGGGAUCUGGCUGCGACAUCUGUCACCCUGUUGAUGACCAGGGUUGAUUCGGCUCAUCUGGCUGGCUAGGCGGGUGCCCCCUUCCUCCUGCACCAUCCCUCCCGAAGCUGCACGCUCGGUGGAAGAGGACGACCUUCCCCCAGUAGAGGAGGACCGGUCUUUGGUCAAGGGUAUACUCUCCUGCUAGAACCACCAGAAAAGCUCUCAAAAGUAUAAUAUGUUAAAUAAAUAAAUAAUUUUUAAUGUAAAAAAAUAAAGUAUCAUAGAUAAACACUCAAACACUAUGUUCUAUAUGUAAACAUUUAUAUUU
rnacentral:snRNA from 1 species